rnacentral:rRNA from 1 species
GUUUGAUCCUGGCUCAGGAUGAACGCUGGCGGCAUGCCUAAUACAUGCAAGUCGAACGAGAGGAAGGAAAGCUUGCUUUUCUGAAUCUAGUGGCGAACGGGUGAGUAACACGUAGGUAACCUGCCCAUGUGCCCGGGAUAACUUCUGGAAACGGAUGCUAAAACCGGAUAGGUAGCAGACAAGCAUUUGACUGCUAUUAAAGUGGCCUUGGCCAUGAACAUGGAUGGACCUGCGGUGCAUUAGCUGGUUGGUGAGGUAACGGCCCACCAAGGCGACGAUGCAUAGCCGGCCUGAGAGGGCGGACGGCCACAUUGGGACUGAGACACGGCCCAAACUCCUACGGGAGGCAGCAGUAGGGAAUUUUCGUCAAUGGGGGGAACCCUGAACGAGCAAUGCCGCGUGAGUGAGGAAGGUCUUCGGAUCGUAAAGCUCUGUUGUAAGAGAAAAACGGCACUCAUAGGGAAUGAUGAGUGAGUGAUGGUAUCUUACCAGAAAGUCACGGCUAACUACGUGCCAGCAGCCGCGGUAAUACGUAGGUGGCGAGCGUUAUCCGGAAUGAUUGGGCGUAAAGGGUGCGUAGGUGGCAGAUCAAGUCUGGAGUAAAAGGUAUGGGCUCAACCCGUACUGGCUCUGGAAACUGAUCAGCUAGAGAACAGAAGAGGACGGCGGAACUCCAUGUGUAGCGGUAAAAUGCGUAGAUAUAUGGAAGAACACCGGUGGCGAAGGCGGCCGUCUGGUCUGGAUUCUGACACUGAAGCACGAAAGCGUGGGGAGCAAAUAGGAUUAGAUACCCUAGUAGUCCACGCCGUAAACGAUGAGAACUAGGUGUUGGGGGGAUAACUCAGUGCCGCAGUUAACGCAGUAAGUUCUCCGCCUGGGGAGUAUGCACGCAAGUGUGAAACUCAAAGGAAUUGACGGGGGCCCGCACAAGCGGUGGAGUAUGUGGUUUAAUUCGAAGCAACGCGAAGAACCUUACCAGGCCUUGACAUCCCUUGCAGAGGUAUAGAGAUAUAUCCGAGGUUAUCAAGGAGACAGGUGGUGCAUGGUUGUCGUCAGCUCGUGUCGUGAGAUGUUGGGUU